UGGGGAAUAUUGCACAAUGGGCGCAAGCCUGAUGCAGCCAUGCCGCGUGUGUGAAGAAGGCCUUCGGGUUGUAAAGCACUUUCAGCGGGGAGGAAGGCGGUGAGGUUAAUAACCUCAUCGAUUGACGUUACCCGCAGAAGAAGCACCGUCUAACUCCGUGCCAGCAGCCGCGGUAAUACGGAGGGUGCAAGCGUUAAUCGGAAUUACUGGGCGUAAAGCGCACGCAGGCGGUCUGUCAAGUCGGAUGUGAAAUCCCCGGGCUCAACCUGGGAACUGCAUUCGAAACUGGCAGGCUAGAGUCUUGUAGAGGGGGGUAGAAUUCCAGGUGUAGCGGUGAAAUGCGUAGAGAUCUGGAGGAAUACCGGUGGCGAAGGCGGCCCCCUGGACAAAGACUGACGCUCAGGUGCGAAAGCGUGGGGAGCAAACAGG
rnacentral:rRNA from 1 species